CUCAUACACACUGCUGCAUUUUAAAUUAACUGUAACCACUCAGGGAAAAGACCUAGAGGUUAUUGUGAACAGCUCAAUAAAAACAUCUGUUAUAUGAACAGAAGCAGUCAGAAAAGCAAACAAAACAUUGGGUUGUACAAGGGAGAUUUUAUAUUAUCAUUUAUAUUAUGAUAAUACAUCAGGACACUGAAAACUGCUUUCUGUCGUGCUAGGCUCUGUGCAAGCAGAGAGUGAAAAUGCAUCCGAGUGUGACCAGGCACCGAUGGACAGGGAGAUUCCUGGAGCAGAGGCUUGCCUUCAAGCAAGGAGAACUGUGUGAUGUGCAAGACUUCUGGCUCUGCAGGCAGCUCACCAAGGAGGAGGUGGUGCUACCUUUGGGAAGACUAUGUCAGCAUCUGCAUACAGUCCCAUCCUGCACAUAUCCUGCUGGUCUCUCUGCUCUGAUCUCAGAAGGCCUCCAACCCCAAUUUACGCAGCAAAGCUCUCCAACACCAGGCAGCCGGGAAGUCUCCAGCUGAAACCUCUCCACAAACUGAUAGGAAGCAGCGAGACCCACAUUGCUUUCAUCAGUCUCAUCCCCAUCCAUAGAGCUAAAGGCUCAGAAAACUUCCAUCCCCCCCUCUACCCUGCACUGUGGUCUCUAUUUUGGGUUCCGGUGUCGCAGCAGCAUUCAUCUUUGUUACACCCAUGGCAUGCCAUCAGCUCACAGGUGAUGAGAAAAAGCAGAUGCAGUUUGCCAUGAGCCAGUUGUUCUCCUGUCUGCACAUCCCAAAAUGAGCUUCAGGAUUUCAAGCAUGCUUCACUGUUCCCAUACAAGGAACCCCUGGAGUCAAAGUGUGCAGUGCAUGAGAUCUGGGCUGGAUGUGACCUUUAGAGUGAAUGCAGCAUGGGGAACAGGAAGAUUCAGCAAAAAAAGAGCAAAUGUCUGAAAAACUGAGAAUUUAAAAGGAAUCUUGUGGUUUUAGCCGAGUUCAAUAUUCUUUUUAGUAUUUUGAGAAGUGAAAAUCUUAGGCAGCUGAACAGAACUUUGCCCAUGGACAAUUCCUGCUUAGAGAAUAAACUUAAAAGAGAAUAAACA
rnacentral:lncRNA from 1 species